UCUAAUCACUCAUCUUCCAGCGUGUCCUCAGUUUCCCCUAGUUCAUUGUCGAUGUUAUGUUGUCGUUCCCGCGUGUGUUCAGCUGUUCAGCCAGCCAUUGGGUCUUCAGUCAGUCAGUCCUUUAGUUCCUGCACUCGCUCCAAUUAAACAUCAUCAUCCUGCACCGUGAGUCCUGCGUUUGGGUCAUCUCUUCCUCGCCUCCACACACAACCUCUGACAGAAUGACACGACCCGUGCCACGAAUGAAACACGUUUUUGACCCAGCGGACUCAGCUCUGUUCAAACGGCAGGGGGCAGCGCUCUCCGUUUGGGCGGAAAAGCUCAGGGGGAAACAGCGGCUCUUCGCGGAGCGAGAGCACGUCUUCCAGGCGACUUGCCUGGCUCUGGGCGGGCCUCAGAGAUGCUGCAUUCUCCUUUUUUUUUCUUUUUUUUUUUCUGCGUUUAUGCUGCGUUCUCCUACCUGCUGCCUCACCUGCACCGGAGCUUUCGCCACGGAGAGUGGGCGUCUCUCACCGAGCUUCAGCCUCUCACUCUCUCGCCCUGCGCUCCUCGCUCACACACCGCCAGCCGCUUAACUCACCGGCCUUUCCAACUCGCUGUGCCGCAGCAGCUCCACCUCCCACCUUGGCUCAACGGAGGCUCCCUCGCUCAGUGGCUCAGCUGUUCCUGCUAAGGAGAAGCGACGCUCACGCUGUCAUCGCGCUUCCCGUUUGGAGCAGUAGCAUCCGGUGGUAAAGGCAGUUAAGGCUCAGCCCAUCCCUGUAACAGCUCCCAAGGCGGUUAGGGCUCAGCACGCACCGCACCAGUCCCUCGGGAUGAUGCAGCUGAUGGCCAGCCAACACCCAUUCCUGUGCCAGCUCCCAGGGCGAGGGCAGCUGAGACCCAGUCCACUUCGGCACCCGUUCCUGCUCCUCGGGUGGGGGUGACUGGGGUCCAGUUAGCUCCCGUGCCUGUCAAGCGCCCAGGGUGAGGGUGGCCAGGGUCCCACCUGACCACCCUAGAGGCUCAGCUGAGGCUCUCCAGCCAGUGUCCUCACGCUCUGGAGGCUCGGAAGAGCUAGCCUGUCUACCUGCUAGUUCACCGCUUCCUCCGCCUCCUCAUCCAGCUUUUCAGCCCCUAGCGCAAUCCCUCGGUAAAUUACCAGAUCUGUUUUCAACUCAAGCACCAGGUUUGCUAGCCCAGGCUGCAGCACGGUCACCAUCUCUAGCCCAACCAUUAGCUCAACCUUCUCCCCAGUGUGCAGCUCAGCCACUAGCCUCGCCAACCUCAGCGCAGCCCUUAGCCUCACCUCCAGUAACCCACUCUCCAGUAGCCCAGUCUCCCGCUGUCCUCCAGUCUGCUGUUCAGCCUCCAGUCCAGUCAAUUCAGUCACAGUUACAUGUAGUCACACUCCUUGUGACUACAUGUAAUAGAUGUUAUUGAACCUGUUCCGUGCAUGUAUCAGUGUUCUGUUGGUCUCACAGCAUGUCCUGUAUUUACAGCUGUUUUUCCUGUUUUUAGAUGAUUCAUUUAGCUUUUGAUUCAAAUUCUUAUGUUUCUCGUUAAACUGUAAAAGCUGGGCACUCAGAUUUUGUCUACUGAGCAUCUUGAUCUGGGCAGAUUUGUUUGGUUUGAUUCUUCCUAGCCGGGUGGCUAGGCUAAUCACCCUGCCUGGGUGUAUAAUCUGUCUCUGUCACAGCUGAAAAUUCCUGAACAAAGGAUUUCCAUACUCUACCAGAUCAAAUAAGGUGACCAGCUCUUGGAUUUGCUGGCAAGCUUGCCUUAAUCACUCUACAACCAGAGAAGAGCUCAGUGCUACUGUGCCAUGGCCAGCACUAGCCCAAUCGCAGGCUACAGAUCCAAAUUAGGUGGAUGGAGCAAAUUAGGUGCCAGACUAAAGUCUCUGGUGAGCUCCACUUCCUACUCAUCGCAGACCUGGCCCUGGAUGACUGUCAAAAAGAGCAAGCACUGGAAAAAGUGCUCCCAUGCUCCUGUGACAUCCAGGUGGCCAACAAUUUUAGCACCCUGAAUGAAGACUUUCCUCCAAUAGGAAGGCUCCAUCAUAGACCCCUGUAGAGAAUUUGACUGGACACGACUCCCAAAGGAAACCUGCAUCUCUACCAGCCGUCACACAGGCUGAACCCCCAUGGCCUGGCACUGCCUCAUACCCAAUCCCCAGCCUAUUACAAAGCUGAGAGGCCGGUAUGUGGAUUGGACCCAGAAGCAUACAAUAGACAAUAGACUGGUUUACUUAUCAAAAUUUAUUUAACCUGGGGGGAAUAACUGGGACGUGUGAUUGGAGUGAGAGUCUCAGGUGUUGAAACCACUGCAGACACAGGGAAAGUGGGGUCAGUGCAAGGCAGAGAGUAACUGACAGGUAGUGAAUCGUAGUGAAGUGAAUGCUUACCUUCCAGGGAGAGGGAACCAGGGGUCUCGGGAGGGCAGCCGAGAAAGUGUCCAGGAGAGGGUGGUAGGAUCAGUGAUCCAGACGUGAGUGGCGAGCAGGAGUGGAGUACCGUGUGUUUCCAGAGGAGACCCAGCAGAAUCACAGAUGUGCAUGCACCGAACAGCGUUUGUGAGGCAACUGAAAGUGAGUUGAAUAAUGAUCCUAAGUAAAGGUAGCAGAAAGCACAGGGAGACACUCGAGAAACCCAGAGCGUGAGAACCACUUUACCACCACGGGGUAGCAGACCAUCAGGGAGAGCAGAAGUCAGCGCUGGUCCUAAAUACUGGUCAGCUCAUUGCUGCUUGAUGGCCUGCAGGUGGAAACAGCAGGUGAGAGAAUUGAAACCCCACCCUGAGGGCAGGACCUGGACAGCAGAGCCACAGUGGAAUAAUACGCCACACACCAGAAACACUCACAUGGACCAUGACACAGCCAGGAUAUUCUGUGACCUUGGUCCUCGCUCCGUCUUGCUUCAGGAUGAACUGCCACCCUUUCAUCUCUGCUUAAUCCCUACUCUCGCAGGGUGGGUUGUUUCAGUCCACCUGCUGAGUUUGCAGACCUGGUCGUCAUAAGACUGUAGUGACUAUUGCACCGAAGUCUUCAAGAUAUGGUUUGAUGUGUCCAGCAGAAUCUGAUGUCCUCUGGGUACCAGCCAUUCUCAGGGUCUCGGGGGUGCUGGAGCCUAUCCCAGCUGUCUUAGGGCGAGAGGCAGG